CGCGGCGCGGGAGGCGCCCGGCUCCGCGCCUCUAGCCGCGUCCCUAACCGCGUCCCUAACCGCGUCCCUAACCGCGGCUCCAACCGCGUCCCUCUGCGCGCCCCUGCGCCUGCGCGUCCGCUCGGGGCUGGAGCUGAGCCUGCUCUUCCCCGGGCGGCGGCGGGGAUGCGGGCAGGAGGCGGGACCCCUCCUCCAGGGCUCUGCAGCACCCCCGCCCCGGCUCCCUGCCCCUCUCUAUCUCUGGGAGGUCCCCCCUCGCUCCUGAGAGAUGGAGCCUCCGGCUGCACAGGAAGGCUCUAGUCUUCUGAUAGGACCUCAACCUCUGCACUGGGUGGGAAUGUGGAGCUUUUCCUUUGGCUAAUGAUAUCCCGAGGAUCUCUCCGCUCUCGAAUUACAGCUGGUUUCGUCACUUGGAAGCCAGGGAACAAGUUUGGAAAGAAACCUCUCGCCAGGUCUCUGUUAUUAAAGGUUCCUCUCUCAAGCUUGAUUUUCCCUACGGAAAGACAGGGGCUAUGUUCCCUUCCAUCUCCCCGGUGCCUACUACAGUGCCUGGAUCACAGGAAGUGCUGAGUGACUAUAUGUCAACACCCGAGGCGAAGGCAAAUCAGUCACGUGUGUGAGCCUAGAAGUGUUACCAGAAGUUCCCCAGGAGAAAAGUCACAGGAGGUUACCAAACCUAACUUGAGAUGAAAGAGAUACACGAGGGAAUUGAAGCUCCUGUGGUCAUAAGACUAGUAAAUUGAGGAACUGAGAUUUUAACACAAAUCUGCCUGACACAAGCACCCACGCUCCAGACCACUGUGCUAACCUUUCUUUGGGGCCUGGAAUGAAGGGUCCAAGGCUGCUUCAAGGGACUUACCUGCCCGAAGAGGACUGGGGAAGCCGCACCUUUAACCACUGCACCAUCUUCACUGAAUGGUCUUCAAUCAGCACUGUUGAGAACUGCCGCUCUGACUCGCUCCUUUCCCAUAUUCUUUGUGGACAAACUCUCAAUCUCCUGCCUCUUCUGAGUUUGAACAUUUGGGUUGUGACCACGAGUAAAGCAGCCAACCCUUGCACAUUUCAAUCUCUAAUCUCCUAUUGUGUCUUUAUUUUGCAAUUUGGCUCCUGGAGGCCAAUCUAUUUACACCAAUGUCCCCAUUUUUUAAACCUCAUUUUCUCGCACAACUUGCCUGUACUACUAAGCCAGGAGAUUUAAGGCUAAAUUAAUCUUGCCUCCAGGACUGAUGUCUUACUACAAGAUAGAAGCUAUAGGACAUAGGCUGUGCUACAGCCAUGGCCUACAUCACGAAUCGAUCACAACACGCUUGCUAUCUUAGCCUUACAUCUUUCUCGGCAGGGUUGUAGGCAAUUACUGCCAAUAAAUUCAUUCAUUCAUCUGUGGGUUCAUUACCUCAGCAAGAAUUGUUAGUAUUGUUAUUCAAAGAUGUUUAUAAUUUUCAAACCUCAGCAAGUAUUUAUUGAACACUUACUAUGUGCCAGGUCCUGCUCUAGGCACCGGAUAUAAACUAGAAAUUAUAAUCCUGAACUUGAGUUUCCAAGAUGAAAUAAGACAAUGCGUAUAAAUACCCUUGUGAACUCUAAAGCUCUAUCCAAAGAGAUUGGAAAGAAGUUCCCACAUUCUUCAAUUUCUAAUUUUCUCGUUUAGUAACAUUUUUGUAAUGGAUGGCUGUCAUUGAUAUUUUACGUGGUAGUAAACCAUAGGCAGAAAGUUGCACAGGCUCAGAAAUCUAACUGAUUCUUUUAAGAAAUCUGAAAUGUUUGCGUGGUCAGGCCAUUUAACUUUUUGGGGUCUCUGGAUUUUAUUGUGGAGAUAUUUAACAUAGGAAUAGAUACAUAAGGAUUCUUUACAAAUAUUUGUAAAGUGUUUAGCAUUGUGAUUAGCACAUGGUAAGAUUUCAAUAAUAAUGUUGAUUAUUGUUAGUACCCUAAAGUCUAAUAACAAGAGUUUUUCUC